UAUUUUAAAGAGAGUUUGAUCCUGGCUCAGGACGAACGCUGGCGGCGUGCCUAAUACAUGCAAGUCGAACGAACGGAGGAAGAGCUUGCUCUUCCAAAGUUAGUGGCGGACGGGUGAGUAACACGUGGGCAACCUGCCUGUAAGUUGGGGAUAACUCCGGGAAACCGGGGCUAAUACCGAAUGAUAAAGUGUGGCGCAUGCCACGCUUUUGAAAGAUGGUUUCGGCUAUCGCUUACAGAUGGGCCCGCGGUGCAUUAGCUAGUUGGUAGGGUAAUGGCCUACCAAGGCAACGAUGCAUAGCCGACCUGAGAGGGUGAUC
rnacentral:rRNA from 1 species